rnacentral:lncRNA from 1 species
CCCUUUGGACUUUCUUUAGGUUUGGUGCUAAACUCUUCUGUGAGCUCACUCUACUCCUCUCCUCCCUUUAACUCUCUCGAGGGUAUCAUUCACUUAAAACGUUGCCUCUGGU